GCUUUGAAAUCUGCCAGCUCUUGGAAUCAGCCUCUACCAGGCCCCUCGGGUUUCGGGCUGGAGGAAGUGAGCAGGGAAGGUGACAUGUUGAAUAGCAAGAUCUGCUGGUGAGCUUGACAAGUGUGCUCUGCAGCGAUGGCGGCUCUGAAUUGUAUUCACGGUUGGAGAUUUCUCAUUCUCCGAGGAAUAUGUUCGAUACAGACACCGCGGGUCUCCUUGUUAUGCUAGAAACCAGCGGUUGUUUGCACGUAAGGAGCUACCACACGGUAAUGAGGUGCAGCCAGAGGCAAAAUGACAUUUGGCGACGUCUUUUGUGUACUGCAGCCAGUGACUCUGAAUGGGAACUCCGGAGUAGCAUGCAGGGCUACAGAAUCACGUCUUGGAUCAAUGUGCCGCAGACACAGACUUCAUGGCCUGUAGUUAGAAACGGCUUCUUUCUCCAGUGUCAACCCCGCCGUAAAACACACCUAAAGGUCUAACAGGCAGAAUUGGUCACUUCAGGAUUGUUUGUAGAACACUGCUGCGAGGAGCGUUCUGUAGGCCGGCAGAAGGUUCUCAGUGUUGAUAUCUCUGAGUACCCAGCCUAGGGCAGGCCCGUUUGAGGUCAGCUGAGGAGGAGAGGCAGGGGUGGGCACUCCCUGAGCCUCAGUCUUCAGUUAGCGAAGCAGAGAGUACCCUGCCCCCACCCAUCUUACCCAGCAUCCACUUCUGAAAAGACAGUUCUUGAUUCUUUGCUUCUGUCUCCUCUCCGGGAGUCUGUUUACCAAACUCACAAGAAAUUUCUAGUUUGUGCGCCCCCCCACCCCACUCCGUAGAAAAGGAGAAGGUUGUUUAUGUGCGAGCCCAUGUGCACAAACAGGAAGCUGAUUAACCCCAAGACCUCCUCUCGGGUAACAGUGAUGUAGAGGGCCACGUUCAGCAAUUCCAGAGCAAUACAGUAAGCCAAGGUUACCAAUAAAGGCGGAUUUCUGAGUUCGAGGCCAGCCUGGUCUACAGAGUGAGUUCCAGGACAGCUAGGGCUACACAGAGAAACCCUGUCCCCCAAAACUAAAAAAAAAAAAAAAAAAAAAAAAA
rnacentral:lncRNA from 1 species